AGAAAAAAAAAAGAAAGAAAGAAGAAGAAGACAGAGGAGAGGGUGGAACGGAGGAGACGAAUGACGGAGCUUGAAGCGCUCGUCAGCAACGGUGGGCCGAACGGCUGAGGAAGGAGAACGCCGAUGGUUAUUGUUGAGGAAAGUUGGUGAGUCCUUGUGAAGAAGAAGGCAUGGGGUGUUGAGAGGAAAGAAAGAUCAAGAAGAAGGUGGGAAGAAGAGGUCAAAAACUGAGGAGGCACGACCUGACCCAACCCGACCCAUCUAUACAGAACUGAAACACGAUUUUUUUCAUUUCACACCAUUUGAUUCGUCUUUAUUCAGAUUUAGGAGAAAAGUAGAUCUGGGUCGGUGGCGGGGACAUGUGGAGUCGUGCAGCUGCAGAAGGGGGCCCUUAGAUUGAGUCAGCUUCUCCCAUGUCAUUUUGGUUAUGAUUUUGACGUUUUUGGAAAACCUGCGAUAUUUUGUAACUGUUUCUUUUUAUGUGACUCCGUGGAUUUUCUUUUAUGUGUUUUGUAGUAUUUUUUUUUUAAAUGUAUAUCAGACAACUUUUAACUUUUAGUCCCUGGUUCAAACUACAAGAAGUAUUGAAAAGUUCUUUUUACUC